rnacentral:lncRNA from 1 species
GUUCAUGUUGUUUCAUGUUGUGAGGUGGGUUCUUAACUUUAUUAGCUUUAGCUACUAUUGUUGAGUUAUGUUGAGAGAUAAGUCUAUAGUGUCCCUUACAUAAUAAAGUUAUAACUGUUGGAACCUCUGUUUCUUGUACAAAAUGAAUAGGCUGACUUUUUCGGUGGUUAAUGGUUGUCGUUGCCAGAUUAAUAGUUUGUUGGAAAGUUUGCAACGAGCAUUAUAUAUAUAUAUAUAUAUAUUUUUUUUUUGAAAGAAUAUUAAAUUUUAUUUCUAAAAAAAACCUUUAUACAAUGAAUGCAUCCCCUUAUCUAAAACUUAUUUCUAUACCUUCACAUAUACAUACGAGUUCCAAACCAAACUUGUAAAGAACUUUCUAUUCCCUUCACACACCUAGAUCUUAACAAGCUGAACUUGUUUCUCACAUUCUUAUCAACCAGCUUCUUCAAAACAUUCACUGGGAUCAGCUUCUCAUCAUGUUUCACUUUGUUCCUCUCUCUCUCCAUAUUACAUAUAAUGCAGUUAGAAAAGCAUACCGAAGACAUAAUAGCUUCAUUUUCACAAGAUUCCCUCCAGUAGUGAUUCUAUUCAUGAUCUCAGACCAAGAAUUUGAGAACGAAAAUAGAGACAGAACAUGUGUUCAUGUUGUUUCAUGUUGUGAGGUGGGUUCUUAACUUUAUUAGCUUUAGCUACUAUUGUUGAGUUAUGUUGAGAGAUAAGUCUAUAGUGUCCCUUACAUAAUAAAGUUAUAACUGUUGGAACCUCUGUUUCUUGUACAAAAUGAAUAGGCUGACUUUUUCGGUGGUUAAUGGUUGUCGUUGCCAGAUUAAUAGUUUGUUGGAAAGUUUGCAACGAGC